UACGUAGGGUGCAAGCGUUAAUCGGAAUUACUGGGCGUAAAGGGCGCGUAGGCGGCCUUCUAAGUCGAACGUGAAGUCCCCGGGCUCAACCCGGGAACUGCGUCCGAUACUGGAAGGCUUGAAUCCGGGAGAGGGAUGCGGAAUUCCAGGUGUAGCGGUGAAAUGCGUAGAUAUCUGGAGGAACACCGGUGGCGAAGGCGGCAUCCUGGACCGGUAUUGACGCUGAGGCGCGAAAGCCAGGGGAGCAAACGGGG
rnacentral:rRNA from 1 species